UUUUUGCUCAAUUGAUUUUGAUAAUCAACAGCUUCUACAACCACAGAAGCCAAUGUGGUCACAUUUGUGAUUUAGAUCAAAUCUGACAAAAGAUUAAAUAAACUCUGUUCCUAAGAAAAAAGCCAGGAAUACUAAAAAUAAAAGAUUAGCUUCUAAACCAACAGAAGAAAAAAGUGAUUUUUGAGGAGAUGCUCAAUUCCAGUCAAAGAUAUUCAAAAUUAUUUUCCUGUGCCCAUUAAUAAAGAAUGAAAAUAAUAUUAUCUACAUAAGGGAGCUGAUUUAUUACUAUAAACAAAACACCAACGUUUAACAAAAAUAUUUCCAAAUCCAGUAUCUGUGAUCUUUUCUGUCUCCCACUAUGAC
rnacentral:lncRNA from 1 species